GAUGAAGAACGUAGCGAAAUGCGAUAAGUAAUGUGAAUUGCAGAAUUCAGUGAAUCAUCGAAUCUUUGAACGCACAUUGCGCCCUCUGGUAUUCCGGGGGGCAUGCCUGUUCGAGCGUCAUUAUAACCACUCAAGCUCUCGCUUGGUAUUGGGGUUCGCGGUUUCGCGGCCCCUAAAAUCAGUGGCGGUGCCUGUCGGCUCUACGCGUAGUAAUACUCCUCGCGAUUGAGUCCGGUAGGUCUACUUGCCAGCAACCCCUAAUUUUUUUAAGGUUGACCUCGGAUCAGGUAGGGAUACCCGCUGAACUCAAGCAUAUCAAUAAGCGGAGGA
rnacentral:misc_RNA from 1 species